GGUGAACGCUGGCGGCGUGCCUAAUACAUGCAAGUCGAGCGAACAGAUGAGGAGCUUGCUCCUCUGACGUUAGCGGCGGACGGGUGAGUAACACGUGGAUAACCUACCUAUAAGACUGGGAUAACUUCGGGAAACCGGAGCUAUACCGGAUAAUAUAUUGAACCGCAUGGUUCAAUAGUGAAAGACGGUUUUGCUGUCACUUAUAGAUGGAUCCGCGCCGCAUUAGCUAGUUGGUAAGGUAACGGCUUACCAAGGCAACGAUGCGUAGCCGACCUGAGAGGGUGAUCGGCCACACUGGAACUGAGACACGGUCCAGACUCCUACGGGAGGCAGCAGUAGGGAAUCUUCCGCAAUGGGCGAAAGCCUGACGGAGCAACGCCGCGUGAGUGAUGAAGGUCUUCGGAUCGUAAAACUCUGUUAUUAGGGAAGAACAAAUGUGUAAGUAACUAUGCACGUCUUGACGGUACCUAAUCAGAAAGCCACGGCUAACUACGUG
rnacentral:rRNA from 1 species